UACGUAGGGUGCAAGCGUUGUCCGGAAUUAUUGGGCGUAAAGAGCUCGUAGGCGGUCUGUCACGUCGGCUGUGAAAACCCGAGGCUCGACCUCGGGCCUGCAGUCGAUACGGGCAAGCUAGAAUUCGGUAGGGGAGACUGGAAUUCCUGGUGUAGCGGUGAAAUGCGCAGAUAUCAGGAGGAACACCGGUGGCGAAGGCGGGUCUCUGGGCCGAUAUUGACGCUGGAGGAGCGAAAGCGUGGGGAGCAAACAGG
rnacentral:rRNA from 1 species